UACGUAGGGGGCAAGCGUUGUCCGGAAUCAUUGGGCGUAAAGAGCGUGUAGGCGGCUUGGCAAGUCUGGUGUGAAAUCUUGCGGCUCAACCGCAAGCGGUCACUGGAAACUGCCUCGCUAGAGUCCGGAAGAGGAGAGCGGAAUUCCUGGUGUAGCGGUGGAAUGCGCAGAUAUCAGGAAGAACACCCGUGGCUAAGGCGGCUCUCUAGUACGGUACUGACGCUGAGACGCGAAAGCGUGGGGAGCGAACAGG
rnacentral:rRNA from 1 species